UCGUGGUGCCCGUCCUGGCGCUGCACCGCGACCCCGCCCUCUACCCGGACCCCGAGCUCUUCGACCCGUGCCGCUUCGCCGAACCCGCCGUCGCCGCCCGACACAGGUUCGCCUACCUGCCGUUCGGCGAGGGACCGCGCGUCUGUCUGGGGAUGCGGUUCGCGCUGUCGCUGGUGAAAGUUGCGGUGGCGGGUGUGGUGCGUCGGUUCGAGCUGCGGCCAUGCCCACAGUCAGUGCUGCCGGUAGCGCUCAGCCCCCACCACCACACACUCACUGCUGCCCACGGGCUUCGCGUCACCAUCCUGCCCAGGCACGACACGUGACUACUAUUUGCUGUACUGCAGCUCCGUGUCGGCACCUUACACCACCUCCUGCUUAUGGAUGCCGAGAUACUGCCCAAUCACGAGAAGUGAUGGCAGCUUGUUUUGCAGUUGGACUGUGGUGGAUAUCUAGAUCGUGACGCACUUCUAACUGCAUGCAGAUUGCCUCUCGGUACUCUCCCUAGCCGCAGCAAGUGAUUAGAUGUCGUUGUUCCAGUUCAUUGUGGUGAGACUCAUUAACGCUUUCGUCUGCUGCUGCACCUGGACUUGAAAAGUUGUCACAACGUAUCUCACCAUGUUAACUAGCUCAUGCUGUAUUAUUCGUGAAUGGUCUACAGCACCACACAAAGCUGAUUCUUGGCUUCUUAUUCAGUCAUAAAAGUAUGAUACAUGUUCCUAACCUUGCCUAUAGCUUAUAGAGAUUGUCUGAAGAAAGAGAAAGUUACCAUGUACAAAGUGCUUGAAAAGAAAAGUGUCACAUAUUAUUACAGGAAGUGCUAUAAUCAGAACUAAAAAGAAAAGUUUCCAUAAUCAUAUGCCCAGAAACCAACACCUGUUGCGAUAUGGGCCAGGACAUCUCCCACUCCCACCUGUCCGUUACAUAGAAGUAGAUGCUGUAGCCAUCUGGCAACCAUGUGUCCUGACACAUCCUUCAGCAGUCAAUCACAUUGAAUCAUGUACUAUUUCAAAAACACCUAGCUCCAUUCAGAUUGCAUCACAGGCUCCUAUAAUGUAUACACACUGCUGAUCGAUUGUGCAUACACAAGUGUCUUUAAAUGUCUCCAUAGCCAGAAAUCCAGCGGACUCAGAUCUAGUGAAGAGGGAGGCCACUCUAUCGGACCUCUUUGACCAGCCUGCUGCCCAUCAAACGUUGCUGUGAUGUACUGUCAAACGAUCUGUACAAAAUGGAGUGGCGCCCCAUCGUCCAUAAUCCACAAUUUUCGUCUUUCUACUCUCCAAUAGCGCAGGUAAUAUCGGUGGUGCACCUGUUGAUCUCUUCGAUAACACGUGUGGCCCUAUGAAUCUGUCAUCAACAAUUCCUUUCCAUAGAUUGAUAUUGAAGUGAUUCUGAUGGCCUCACCUCUGUGAGUGACGAGGAUUGGCACUUACCACAUGUGCGUAUUGUAGUAAAUUACAAUGCCAUCACUUGUAAACGAUGGGGCAUCUCCCUAUUUACUACAGUUUGCGACAUUAGGUCACACCAAUUUUUCAUGGGUCACUGAAUGGUCAAAGAGGUUCUAUGCCAAGGCCUCUCCAUCCACUGGACUGGAUUUCUGACUACAGGCACAUUUAAAGGCAUUGUAGUACGCUCAACCCUUCAACAACGCGUGUGUGAUUCAGGAGCAUGUGAUCAAUGAAUAUGACGCAGUCCAAACGAAGCCAUGAGUAUUUGAAAAAGUGCAUGAUUCGCUGCAAGUAAAUGCUGAAGGAUGUGUCAGACAGUUGGGAGUGAGACGACAGACUGGUCCAUAUCCCAACAGGUAUUGGUUUCUUGACCUAUCAUUAUGGAAAUUUUCUUCUAGUUUCGAUCAAUACUACAUUAUGUUGGAAUAUGUUCCAUCUUUUUAAAUACCCUGUGUGCAAGUGGACAAAACGAGUGAAACACUCUGAAUUUAUUGUGAAAGUAAGUGUUUAUUUUAGUCGUGACUGAGUGUGAUCCAAAUCAACAGUUGCAGAAUAAUGUAACUCUGUUACUAAUGAAUAAGAGUAAUUUUGUUUUAA